rnacentral:rRNA from 1 species
UACGAAGGGUGCAAGCGUUAAUCGGAAUUACUGGGCGUAAAGGGUGCGUAGGCGGUUGUUUAAGUCUGUCGUGAAAUCCCCGGGCUCAACCUGGGAAUGGCGAUGGAUACUGGACAGCUAGAGUGUGUCAGAAGAUGGUGGAAUUCCCGGUGUAGCGGUGAAAAUGCGUAGAGAUCGGGAGGAACAUCAGUGGCGAAAGGCGGGCCCAUCUGGGACAACACUGACGCUGAAGCACGAAAAGCGUGGGGAGCAAACAGGG